CAAGUCUCGCACUGUUUACAGUUGCAUUUUUUAUGUGAGUAAGUAAUUUCUCUAAAAACUGAAAGGAUUUCUUGGUGAAUUGAUGGGAAAGUGUGCUAACAAUGUGAUUUUGGAAUAGAGAUUCAGUUCGUUUUUAUUUUUCGACGCCGAUCAAUCUUGUGAUUGGUAUCAUGAAAUUGAGCCCUGUCAGACCUGUUGGCACAGAGCUGCAGAUAGAUCAGAGAGUUUUGUCAAGGCGAUCGAAAAUCUUGCGAGAGACCAAGUCAAAUCAUGCCAACCUGGAGCCUCCUCUGUCUGCGGUCACAUGAAUGAAUGUGGAGUCCAUAAGGAACCAAAGGAACAAUUUUAAGGUA